rnacentral:rRNA from 1 species
CCUACGGGCGGCAGCAGUGAGGAAUAUUGGUCAAUGGUCGCGAGCCUGAACCAGCCAAGUAGCGUGAAGGAUGACUGCCCUGCGGGUUGUAAACUUCUUUUAUAAAGGAAUAAAGUGAGGCACGUGUGCCUUUUUGUAUGUACUUUAUGAAUAAGGAUCGGCUAACUCCGUGCCAGCAGCCGCGGUAAUACGGAGGAUCCGAGCGUUAUCCGGAUUUAUUGGGUUUAAGGGGAGCGUAGAUGGGUUGUUAAGUCAGUUGUGAAAUGUUGCGGCUCAACCGUCAAAUUGCAAUUGAUACUGGCAGGCUUGAGUACAGUUGAGGUAGGCGGAAUUCGUGGUGUAGCGGUGAAAUGCUUAGAUAUCACGAAGAACUCCGAUUGCGAAGGCAGCUUACUAAACUGCCACUGACAUUGAUGCUCGAAAGUGUGGGUAUCAAACAGGAUUAGAUACCCGAGUAGUC